AGCAGCGCUGCGCGGGGGCGGCUGAGAGCAGGCGGUGAGGCCCGGCCGCACUGUGCUGCGCCGCGUCCCGCCCUGUCCCGUUCCACAGCGCUGCGGGAAGCGAUGGGAGCGGCUGCAGUACAGCGCUUUGCUUACUGCAAACGGCGCGUCUUUACGAUGGGCGGCGGCUUGGCAAGACGGGCGUAGAAAGAAAUGGAAGGAGUGAGAGAGGCGUGUGACCCGCUGAAGGGAACUGCAGAGGAGAAUGGCUUUAAGAAAACAGUAGCACUACAGAUGCAGUGUGCAGUUCAGAGAGCACCUCUGUGCAGUGAGAGCAGGGAGCACCUGAAGCAGUACGGCCCAGACACAGAGAGCAGCUCAGAACGAUGAUUGAACCGUGGAAACACAAAGCUGGAGUGGAGCUACAAGGUCAUCCCAUCCAACCGUCCUCCUACCGCCAUUACCACCGCUGAGCUACUCAGCCUUAUCUUGUGGCACCUCGUCCAGAAUGUCAGCGGUCUGUGGGCUGGUUCGGCCCGGUUCCAUGACUGGCGGGUGGGGGGAUCUGUGGAUCCGCACCCUGGAAAAGGGAAAUGGGAAAAAGGAUAAAGAGAUGGGCUCUAAAACAGAACAGAAGCGACAAUCUGAAAGGAAACAAACUAAUUUACUAGAAAAGAUAUCGGAAUGCAAGAUAACACGCUAUAAUAAAACAUAGUACAAGGUAAUUAGAAUUUGAGCUAAAAUUGAGCUAAAAUGCAAAGAGACAGAGUGUCCAAAAGCCAAAGGCCUUACUCUCACGCUGAGGCAGACGGGCAACAGAGGUGAGCCAGACGAUCAAAAGGGCCAUCAGGUGACCUCCCAAGGCCUUCUAUCUUUUCCCUCUGAGCAGAAAUGGUAACAGAACAGUGAACAGCACCCCAUGGCCAAGAGGACCCAGUGUCCGUGUUCACAUAUCCUCAUCUCCGACACCGAAGGGAUUUUGGUGCCUUUGUUUGGGUACAGAAUGUUCACCCGUGGACAAUGGACCCUCUGUCCAUGUCCCUGUAGUGUAGUGACAGAGCUCAGCGGGCUUUGGCAUCAAUGUCCCCCCCUUGGCCAUGAGGGACCCAAUGUCCACGUCGCCAUACCUGUGUCCCCUGUGCCAAGGCAACCUCGGUGUCACCCAUGGAGGACAGAAUGUGUCCAGGUGCCACGGCCCCAUGUCAUUGUUGCCAGGAGCCAAGGAGACCUCAGUACCACUUUCUUUGGGGUACGGUAGGGACGCCCGGUGCAUCCUCAUCCCCAUGACAAAAGGACCCCGGUGUCCUGGUCCAGGUCUUCCUGUCCUCAGUGCUGAGGGGACCUCAGUGUCACCUUUGGGGUACCAGAACGGUCCCCCACAUCCAUGUCCCCAAUGCCAAAGGGACACCACUGUCACCUCUGGGGUCCAAGUGUCCAUCUCCGUGUCUUUGUAGCACAGAAGGGUCCCUGACAUCCCCAGUGCUGAGAGGACCUCACUGUCACCAUGGGACUACAGAACGGGGUGAAGUGUUCACCUCCCCGCUGUGUUAUCCCAGUGGUAAAGGGACGUCCGUGUCACUUUUAGGGUACAGAAGGGACCCCAUGCGUGUGUGCGCCAUGUCCAUGAUCCUGUGCCCAAGAGGAUCCCAUGUCCAUGUCCCCAUGUCGUCAUCCCCAAUGCAAAAGGGAUUUUGGUGCCCUUUUUUGGAUACAGAAGGGACCCCUGUGCCCACGUCACUGCAGCCAAGGGCUCCUCCAGCAUCGGGAAGAUGGU